CCUACGGGAGGCAGCAGUGGGGAAUUUUGCGCAAUGCUCGUAAGAGUGACGCAGUGACGCCGCGUGAAUGACGAAGGCCUUCGGGUCGUAAAGUUCUUUCGACAGGGAAGAAAAUGCCUAUAAGUAACUGUGUAUGUAUUGACGGUACCUGUAUAAGCAGCCCCGGCUAACUCCGUGCCAGCAGCCGCGGUAAUACGGAGGGGGCGAGCGUUGUUCGGAGGGACUGGGCGUAAAGAGCACGUAGGCGGUGUUGUAAGUCAUUAGUCAAAGACUAGAGCUCAACUUUAGUAAGGCUAGUGAUACUAUAAUACUAGAGUAUCAGAGAGGAUUGCAGAAUUCCUGGUGUAGCGGUGAAAUGCGUAGAUAUCAGGAGGAAUACCGUUAGCGAAGGCGGCAAUCUGGCUGGAAACUGACGCUGAGGUGCGAAAGCGUGGGUAGCAAACAGGAUUAGAUACCCCUGUAGUC
rnacentral:rRNA from 1 species